AUGUGCAGAUUUUUAUUGCUCUGUUUUAGCGAAAAUAUGCGUUAACAAAUUUCAUUCACAACAGCUACAGCAUCACGCAACAGUCGUGGGACUGGUUUACCAGAGUGGGAGUGACUCUGUCUGACUCUGAAUUAUGUCUUCUCUUUUCAAAUUUAUGAUUAUUAGGUUCCGCCAUUCUUCUGAAUGGUUUUUAUGUUCGCCAGCAUUUUCCACAAAAGCAAGGACCCUGCCAGCAGCAGCCGACCCUGUACCAGCACUACAACGCCUUCCCGAACGGAUCGGUUCUUAGAUUCCUCGACACAGAGAUUCAUCCAGCAACACUGACUGAUCACGACCUCGACAAGUUUCGAUAGCAAUUGCCAAACUCGGAAAAAGGCUCCUAAGCCAGGAGCCAGGAGCCAUUUCAACCCAGAACAAUGACCGAUGCAGCAGGAAGAGGCACGCAUGAUGAGCUGGAGCAGAAGCUUUAUCAGCAGACGAACGUGGAACCAUCGCCAGAGAGGGAGAUUCCAGAUUCUGAGCAUCGGAGAGAGAGAGAAAAAGGAGAAGGGAUUGGGAAGGUGCAGACUUCUGUGUCGACAUUGCGCUCCAGGUGCACCAAACUGAGCAAACGAUCACCCACAUCCUGCGGAGCUUAAUUCAGCAGGGUUGUUACAAUGUGUGAACUGCUCAAACCACUGUGAUGUGAAUGAUAUGCUGGAAUGUUGUUCCAAAUAAUGUUGUUAAAUAACAAGAUGACUGAUAAAAACUCUCGUCCCAAUGAUUUAUAAGCCUUCGAGGCAGAAUUAGAAUAAGUGUUAUUGCAGAUCUCCGCAAAUCAGAGGUUGAGAAGGUUUUAGGAUAUAAUAUAUAUAUAUAAAAUCUAAAUAUAACCACGAAGCAUUUUGAUCGGUUGGACGAGUUGGUCAAUGAUUUGGUGACAAGAGUCGGAAGCGUGUCACCAGGCUACUCCCCGAGUUGUAACGAUGGUUUUUCACACAAAGGUGUAAAAGUAUGUUUCUGAUUUUGAUCGCUUAGAACAUGCUGAUAAUGGUUUUGUUGAGAGGUUGCAAAACCCUAGCCUGGGUGCAAGCCCGUCCGUACAGAGAGCCAAUGUCCCCCUUCAGAGGGGGACCCUGCACACAGAGAAGAUGAGCUCCCUGCAGAGGUGGGCCCUGAGCAUAGAGGCAAUGAGCCCGCUGUGGGAGGAUCUGGUGCCGGGUUCCUGGUGCCUGAAAUGACGAUUGUAUUGUUUCAGCUACGGAAGGCAUGGACCUUUCACAGUUUCAAGACCUGCUUGACGCUGUUCAGUCUAAUCUUGAUGUUUUAACAGACGGGAGCUUGAAACUGAUGAUUCAGGUGGUACACAGUGCGGGGGGUGGUAAAAGACUGCAGCUAAAAACCCUUGACAACGAAAUAGUUUAAAAGAAGACGAGGUUCAUGUACAUUGUUAAAAAUCAAGAUAAUCAGCCCUGUUUUGCAAUCAAUCUGGCUCACCUACUCUUCCCAGGAAUCACAGAUGGCGAGGCCGACAGAAGAGGGCCAGAGCUUCACACACAGGCUGGCUUAACAGACUAGACCCCGGUGUGUUUCACAGAUAUGGAGAGGUUGUGGAGGCCUGUAGCGCAGAAACACGCCAGCAUGUGUAACAUUAAUAAUAAAUGUCUCCGCUGCGGGCGCUUGUAUUACAUUUCCCUGACUAAAUAAUCAAAACCGCACGAAUGUCCAGACGUUAAAUGCUGCAAUUGUGGCGGGGUGAUCUAUGCAGGAACAGCCGAUGCUCAUAAAUGUUACAUACAGACUCUGCCAACUCCUGAAAGAU